AUUCUCUGGCUCUGGAUUCUACUCAGACAUCUCUAAGAAAGUGGAAUUCGUUUUGAACUCUUCRGUUACAAAGUCUCCAACUAUGAAAAAUCUCUGGAGAAAGGAACUAGAGUACUUAUCAUGUCCUUGAUCUCAUCUUCCCCAAACAGCUCCAGAGUGUGUGAAGACUUCUCACAAUCACUCUGUAUCUCUGAGGAAAACUACUUAUAUGUCUCUGAAAGUACCAUAUGAACUGCGUUCUCUUUGACCUCCUUCUUCACCCUUUCUGUGCACUACCUUUCUGUUUAUCUACCAGAUAAACUGUUAUCUGG